rnacentral:rRNA from 1 species
AACGAACGCUGGCGGCAGGCCUAACACAUGCAAGUCGAGCGAGGACUUCGGUUCUAGCGGCGGACGGGUGAGUAACGCGUGGGAAUGUGCCCUUCUCUACGGAAUAGCCCUGGGAAACUGGGAGUAAUACCGUAUACGCCCUAUUGGGGAAAGAUUUAUCGGAGAAGGAUCAGCCCGCGUUGGAUUAGGUAGUUGGUGGGGUAAUGGCCUACCAAGCCGACGAUCCAUAGCUGGUUUGAGAGGAUGAUCAGCCACACUGGGACUGAGACACGGCCCAGACUCCUACGGGAGGCAGCAGUGGGGAAUCUUAGACAAAGGGGGCAACCCUGAUCUAGCCAUGCCGGGGGAGUGAUGAAGGGCUUAGGGUUGGAAAGCUCUUUCAGCUGGGAAGAUAAUGACGGUACCAGCAGAAGAAGCCCCGGCUAACUCCGUG